ensembl:misc_RNA Metazoa_SRP Metazoan signal recognition particle RNA
GCCGGGUGUGGUGGCUCACGCCUGUAAUCCCUGCACUUUGGGAGGCAGAGGUGGGCGGAUCACCUGAGGUCAGGAGUUCCAGACCAGCCUGGCCAACAUGGUGAAACUCCAUCUCUA